rnacentral:rRNA from 1 species
UACGUAGGGUGCAAGCGUUGUCCGGAAUUAUUGGGCGUAAAGAGCUCGUAGGCGGUCUGUCACGUCGGCUGUGAAAACCCGAGGCUCAACCUCGGGCCUGCAGUCGAUACGGGCAGACUAGAGUUCGGUAGGGGAGACUGGAAUUCCUGGUGUAGCGGUGAAAUGCGCAGAUAUCAGGAGGAACACCCGUAGCGAAGGCGGCACUCUGGGCCGAUACUGACACUGAGGAGCGAAAGCGUGGGGAGCGAACAGG